AGCCCUGGCAAUGGGCAAGGAGACACCUGAUUGUUGGUGUUGGUCUUAUGUCAGUCAGGGGCAAAGCAGCUGUUCAGUCCUUAGUUCAUCCUAGCUUGAUGCCUGUGAUGGUGGCCAGAGCUGUCUCGUGCCUGGGUCACAUAA
ensembl:snoRNA